GAUUCGCCAGUUUCUUUGCGAGGCAAGAGUGUACGCCAGUAUGUUUGGCGAGCUGGGGUUCGCUAGUUUGUUUGGCAUAUUGGGGUUUGCCAGUUGAAUUGUGAAUUGGGUUUGCCGGUCAAAGAUACAAUCAAACUCAAAUUGGGAAAAAGAGAUCCAGUGUAUUUAGGAAUACUUUAUGUGCAAGGAACGUUUUUCUUAAUUCAGAUAGGGUAUAAAUAAGACCCUUAGUCCUAUGAAAUUCUUCACUAACUAUUCUGCCGUCAAAGUCUUUGUUCUAAAAAUCCUAUUCGUAGCAAUCUGGACCCUCUACCAGUAAGGACAAUGGAAAAGCUAAACUUGUUUAAGUUUCUCUGCUUUCGUAAGUAGGUUGCGGAUAGCAUUAGCAAGGUCGACGAUCUGGCAAGGCACUUGAUUGGAUAUUGACGAACCUGGGAGAUAGGCGAUGGGUUUAGAAUGUUAUUUAUACUGUUGACGUAAUUAUUGAACAAUUACUUAAGUUCAAGUUUAAAGUUGUGACCUACUUUUAAGUUUAAUUUUUAUUAUUUUGUGAACCAUGACUUGGAGCAUGUGUUUAUGUUGUUAAUAAAUCGAUGUUAUUCAUGCA